rnacentral:misc_RNA from 1 species
AUUAUUCCUAGGUAUCAUUUAUUAGCCUUUAAUUCAAGACUUAUGAUUUUAUUAUGAACUGUUAUUUACUUAAGAUGCUUUAACUCUUGAGCUUUACAAUAUUGACUUGAGCUUUACUACACUGACUCCAAAUGAUCUUAUGCGUGUGUGUUCCCUCUUCCCUCUAAAAUUUUGUACAUCAUGACCUUGCCAUAUAAGCACUUCUAG